GUGGGGAAUAUUGCCCAAUGGACGAAAGUCUGAGGCAGCAACGCCGCGUGUGCGAAGAAGGCCUUCGGGUUGUAAAGCACUUUUGGCGGGGAAGAGGAAGGACAGUACCCGCAGAAUAAGCUUCGGCUAACUACGUGCCAGCAGCCGCGGUAACACGUAGGAAGCGAGCGUUAUCCGGAUUUACUGGGCGUAAAGCGCGUGCAGGUGGUAAUGUAAGUUGGAUGUGAAAGCUCCUGGCUUAACUGGGAGAGGUCGUUCAAAACUGCAUAACUAGAGUACGAUAGAGGGAGGUAGAAUUCCGAGUGUAGUGGUGAAAUGCGUAGAUAUUCGGAGGAAUACCAGAGGCGAAGGCGGCCUCCUGGAUCGUAACUGACACUGAGACGCGAAAGCUAGGGUAGCAAACGGGAUUAGAUACCCUUGUAGUCC
rnacentral:rRNA from 1 species